AUGGGGCUGGUCUGAGGUGUUGGAGAGUCGUGGGGUGGGUCUCCAUGCUUGCUGACUCUGCAUUGCCUUUUUGAAUACGAAGCAGUCAGAAAUCUUGAAAGUUCAGCUUGAACGUCAUCAUCCCAAGCUGUGUCACUGUGCCAAGAUGUCCCCAGGAAGCCACCCGAGGGUCUCCUGAAGGGCCUGCAUCUGAGGGCAGAGGAGAACAGCAGAGCGGCUGACACUUGAAAAGAUGAAAAGUAAAAGCUCCAUCAUUGUUGUUAGGUGCACAAAAGAGGAGAAAUUGCCCUGGGUGAUCCCUGGUUGUAUGAAUAAUGAGAAGAAAUUAAGUAAAGACUGUGUUUCCUGACACUGAUGAAUUAGAACAUGGAGUAACUUUCGACAGGAAAUUGGAACAGGGAUCCCUUGAAAUUGAAUUUGAGGCUGUGAAUAGCAAACCUACACUGGCCCUGUGUGUCUUAAUGCAAGUUAAGUAAGCAGUUUGCCGGCUUCGAGUUAAGUACGUUAGGGAGACAGGUUAAUGUUGAGGCCAACAUGGCACAAACUAAUAAAUUGCCUCUCCUGUGUAUUGUCUGUGAAGACGCAUAAGAGUAAUUUGCUUCCUGCAGAGCUGCUCCAGAAUCUGCAUACUUAUUUUAUUAGAUUUUUGGCCCAAUACAUUUGUUCCCUCUCAUUGGUUUUGUUGAUAAUAAUUACCCUUCCCCCUUCCAUCUCUCUGUGGAUCUCUCUUGAUAUUGUUUGCAGUAGCCGCAAAAAGCUUACCAUUUCAGAAAACAAGUGUUUAAAAAUAAGAAUACUCUGGGGCAGAGGCCUUUGGAGUUUCCAGAGGUAGACAGUCAAAUUGUGUGCUAAAGUGGCCUUGGAGCUGACGGCCACCAUGCUUAGGAAGAGCAAGAGCCCCCUUUCCACACCUGUGCAGCAGGUGCCUGGCCUCAGGGAGCCCCUGGGAGCCUCCUUUUGGUUGGGCCUAGGGGAGGGAAUGUCACCGGACACUGCAGCCGCCAGUGAGGCGCUGCUGCAGGCUGGGCCCUGCAAGGACCCGGAGUCCCUAGCUCAUAAUCGUUCAUGAUGAGGUGGUUCUCAGUUGCAAAGCUGUAUGUACUGGGAAGUAGGGAAGAGUGGCUGGGCAGGUGGAGGAGAAUCCAUGGUGACGAUCACACACGUGCCCAGACUGGAGAGACGAGGACUCGGGUGUGGCGCGUGCAGGAGCAGGCGCUUCCGGCAGAGGGAACAGCAGGUGCGAUGCCUCUUCAGUAUUCUUGUCUGUGACCUGGUUUGUUUCUGGUGUUUACCCAUCCCAGAGAUUGUCUCCAGGAAACCAUGCAGUGGUGAAUGAGUUGCUGAAGGCCAGGAUGCCUUGUAACACUGCUGCCCAGCUUCCUGGUUCUGUGGUGGGGGGUGAAGAAUCCUCAGUUUCCCUGACUGUGAACUAGAGAAGAUGGGGAAAGGUCUCAAAUGUCCCCAGAUCCCAGUGCCUUUGGGUCACAGUCACUUUCUUCUGCAGGAUCCUGUAGGCCAGAGAAAGUUUAUUCUCAGGCACACACACCUCUCAGAGUCCGGGUGUGGAGGAAAAGCUCAAAGCCCCAUCCAUCUUCCCAGCUCAUUGGUCAGGGUGGACCUUACAGCUUAACAAAUAUUCACGUCCUAGUCUCUUCACACCUGUUGGCUCUCGCAUACAGGAAGCAGGUUGGACACUGCCACUUCUGCUUCCUGUUCGACACCGAUUUUUGCCUCUUUCUUUUCAUUGCCACGGAAGACACCUUUGGAAAGCUACGAUGUCACUGAAGAAUGCAGAGUGAGCUGGUGCUGAAUCAAUGAUGCAUCUCUGCUGCAGGUCUGCAUGUUGUCUGGCAGAUGCGGCUGUUUUUCCCUGAAGAGGUUACAGUAUCCUUGGUACCCCAUGCGUUUCCUGGUUAGCUUUGUGAAGAUUAAAUGAAAUGGUCUUUAGAAAGUGCUUGGGCCUAGGGCUCCCUUUGGCUGUGCUAAACAUGCGUUUAGGGUGUGAUGAUGAAGACGCUGCUCUCAGGAUGGCCAGGAAGAUGUGCAUACAGUUCCUUGAAAUGUGCAAAAAAAACCCCCAGACUUUCUGCAUUUGUUAUAUUGAGGUUUUUUUUUUUUUUUUUUUUGGUGCUGGGAAUUGAGGCCAGGACCUCAAAUAUGCUAGGCAAGAGCUGUAUCACUGAGCUACAGCCUCAGCUCAAUAGAUGGUUUGAGAUGCUCUUGCACAGGUUGCUAAGUUAAACAUAAAUACAGCAUUCAAUUAUUUUUUCAAUAUCUCUGUAAGUGUAAGUAUUCAAGUGUGUGCUCCUGACCUUUUUGUAUUGUUUUUAAUCUUUUCCUUGAGAUAAUGGGAUCUCUUGGUUCACCCUGUACAUGGGCAGACAGCCGGGGAGAGUGGUUGGACAGGAGGUUGGCACCGUAGCCGCCCGGAUUACCAGAGGCCCCUAUGGGACAACAGAGCCUUAGAGUUUGUUCAGAACGAAGUGGAGAGCUACUGCAGACGUUUGGGGCCACUAGAGAUUGUACUGUUAUGAAGAUUUGUGUUUACAUGCUUUCAUUUCUCUCAGAUACAGUCAUGUCAUCAUCUUCCGGAGCAUCAUCAUAACUCUCCAACCUCGAAUUCGGCCCGAAGUUCUUGUGACUCCAUUUCCUGGGAACCACUGGUCCCAACCUCUCGUGUCCAGCAGCGGACCCCUCCUCGAGUGAGCGCUGCUUCUCCGUGCAGCCGGCUCACAGUGCACUGGCAACGCAGCUCUCAGUGAUUCCAUCCCGUGAGUUCUUCACCCAUCUCGCGACCUCUUCCUGAAGUUUCCAUUAAAUCCAGUGUUAACUGAAGACUUCCAGGACAGGAGUGGCAACAAAAAUGAUGACAGCUAAGAGUGACGGUCCACACGAAAGCGGCGAAAAACCGCAGGCACCAGAAUCCAGAAAACGUUGCUUUAUUUCACACGAGUGCAUUAAGUAUGUGUGUUACACAUACAACACACUGAAUUACGAAGAUUCAUAGUGGGCACAAGCACAUCCCUUCCUAUCAGGUGUGCACGUUACUUGCGUGUUGUGUCUGCUCCGAUCAAUCAGUCCCUCGGCAGUAAGUCUCCAGUUCAUCUGUUUACAGGGGCGUUGCCUCUUGCCAAAGGCGCCUGCUUGGGUAUUUACAAAG